UUGCCCGCCCCUUCCCCCGAAGCUUCGAAUGCUAGGAUUCUGCAAAGCCGUGGAGCUGAGGCUUGAGGCCCGGGGCGGUCCUUUUAGAGGUUCGGUCGGUUGCAGCUUGUGGCUCGUGGGCAGGUGAGAAUGAGUCAGGUCUGGAUGGGGACAGGGAGUGGUGGACCAAAUUGACCUUCUUGAGACUGUUCCCCUCCCGCUUCCGCCCCCGCCCCCUCCCCCCUCGGCUUCUUCUCCAGUGGCUUAGAAACCAGGGAAAGAGACAGAGGGACAGGGAGGAAGGACGGGUGAAGCACUCUUUCAAAUGACUGAUGAUGGAUGACCUUUUGGCAGAGAAGUGAUGGGCCAGAGGUGCAGAAUGAGAGCUGUGUUAUCAGAGCUGACCAAUAUGUUGAUUUCUCUUAUUUGACUAUACAAAUUUGUUACAGGGGGAAGGUUUUUACUUGGUGGAGGAAGGUGGAUUAUUGAAUAACAAGGGACCUAAAAAAGAAUAUCAAGAAACAUUUUUAAAAACUCUGAAAGCAAAAAGUGUAAAGGGGAAGCAAAUAGAGUAUUUUUGUUGCUACAUUGUUAUACUUUAUACAUAUCUUUUAAAAACUGUAACAAAUUGUUUCUUAUAAAGUCUUGUGGGCAGUUUUUAGUUUUUUUUUUCCCUUUCUUUCUUUGGUAACUUUAAAUGUUUGUGCUCAUUAAGUUGACAAUACAAAAGAAAAUUUUAAAAGGAGAUUGGGUCAAAUGAGGAUGGCAAAAACCAUGGGAAAGCCAGACUCUGAGUUGGGGAAAAGAUGGCCACAAAUUGACAGAUUCUUUUCCUUGAUUCUUUUCCAAGAGGAAUGGGGCUUGAAGAAAGUAUAUCAGAAAUCCGGGAUUUGGAUGGACCAAACAACUUGUAAGAUGGGGCAGACUACAGGUAAGACAAGGGAACUAAAGCUGGAAAAGAGCAAAAAAAAUCUAUAGACUUGCUGACCUCUGGCCGGUUUCCCUGCCCCACUGACAGAAGUCUGGAUUGAUGGCUAAGUGCUGGGAAGAAACCUGGGUCAGAACAUAAAUGAGGAACAGCCAGUUUUGCAUAGUCUGCACAUUUAAUCACUUAAAAACCUCUAACAUCAUCUCGCGUCCAUUAAAUAGAACCCACCACACUGGGCCUGUUUAAAUUACAAGAAAAAUCACUGUGCACCAAACCCGGUAUCAUACAAAACCAGCCCGGGCUGGCCAUGGGAGGACAAUGGGGGGGAGGGGGGAGAUGGAAACACCAGGCAUGUUCCUGGCCAGGAGAGAUGGCUGCCUCUCACCCUGGUGGCUGGUUAACUCCCAAGGGAUUGGGGAGAAAGAAGGGACUCCCAGGUGGGAGAUGAUUCUGAUUGUCCUAAUGGGGGGAGGAGGGGAGGUGCAAAAGGCACAUCAGAAGAGGGAGACUGGGAUGUAUGAGUGGGGGAAGGAAACUCAAUAGGUCAGUGCUUUUUCCCAUUAGGCACAGUGUGGGGAGGGGGCUGGCGAACCUUAUGCCACUGCCUACCUACCCCCUCACUUUUCAGCCCUGGCACAAGGAGAAUGAAUGACCCAUGAGCCCUUGGCACUACCAACCAUUGUU